rnacentral:rRNA from 1 species
AUUUUGAACUGCAUGGUUCGAAAUUGAAAGGCGGCUUCGGCUGUCACUUAUGGAUGGACCCGCGUCGCAUUAGCUAGUUGGUGAGGUAACGGCUCACCAAGGCAACGAUGCGUAGCCGACCUGAGAGGGUGAUCGGCCACACUGGGACUGAGACACGGCCCAGACUCCUACGGGAGGCAGCAGUAGGGAAUCUUCCGCAAUGGACGAAAGUCUGACGGAGCAACGCCGCGUGAGUGAUGAAGGCUUUCGGGUCGUAAAACUCUGUUGUUAGGGAAGAACAAGUGCUAGUUGAAUAAGCUGGCACCUUGACGGUACCUAACCAGAAAGCCACGGCUAACUACGUGCCAGCAGCCGCGGUAAUACGUAGGUGGCAAGCGUUAUCCGGAAUUAUUGGGCGUAAAGCGCGCGCAGGUGGUUUCUUAAGUCUGAUGUGAAAGCCCACGGCUCAACCGUGGAGGGUCAUUGGAAACUGGGAGACUUGAGUGCAGAAGAGGAAAGUGGA